GACGAACGCUGGCGGCGUGCUUAACACAUGCAAGUCGAACGGAAAGGCCCCUUUGGGGGUACUCGAGUGGCGAACGGGUGAGUAACACGUGAGUAACCUGCCCUUGACUUCGGGAUAACUUCAGGAAACUGGGGCUAAUACCGGAUAGGAAUCCUUGCUGCAUGGUGGGGGUUGGAAAGUUCCGGGGGUUUUGGAUGGACUCGCGGCUUAUAAGCUUGUUGGUGGGGUAGUGGCUUACCAAGGCUUUGACGGGUAGCCGGCCUGAGAGGGCGACCGGCCACAUUGGGACUGAGAUACGGCCCAGACGCCUACGGGAGGCAGCAGUGGGGAAUAUUGCACAAUGGGCGGAAGCCUGAUGCAGCAACGCCGCGUGCGGGAUGACGGCCUUCGGGUUGUAAACCGCUUUCAGCAGGGGCGAAGCUUGUGGUGACGGUACCUGCAGAAGAAGCACCGGCUAACUACGUG
rnacentral:rRNA from 1 species